rnacentral:lncRNA from 1 species
GUUCCCCUGUACUGGGGCAUAUAAAGUUUGCAAGUCCAAUGGGCCUCUCUUUCCAGUGAUGGCCGACUAGUGUAUUCUUAUAUGCUUCUUACUAACAAGGAAAAAUUAUUCUCAGAGCCCUGCCUGACUUUGUUAAAGUGUAUCUUUGCAGGGAGGGACUUUUUUCCCAACUUUGUUUCCCUUUUGUAAAGGAGUAUUAUGUAGCACAUUCCAUCUACCAGGUCAUUUCACCUGAAUCUCUAAGUCAUAGUCAGAAAGCAUCUACAACUCUGGUCAUUUGUAUGGGGUUUCCAUAGCUGUAUUCCUUCCCUUUUACUGCUGCGAUUAAACACCAUGACCAAAACCAGCUAUGGAAAAAGGAGUUCAUUUGUCUUAGAGUUCCAGAGCAGUACAAGUCCAUUACUGCAAGGAAAGCACGGCAGCAGUUGCUAAAUGCUAGGAAGCCAGGAUUAAAUAACUAGGCAUGGAGGUUAGAGCAACAGGUCAAGAUUCACGUCCUCAACCAAAAGCAUGAGUAGAGAGAGCAAACUGGACGCAGGUGAGCUCUGGAGCUCUCAAAAGCCUGGUGCCAGUAACACUUCUACAAGCAAGGCCACAUCCACUAAACCUCCACAAACAUCCCUACCAACCAGGGACCAACACUUAUUCAAGUACAGGAGCCUAUGUAAAGCAUUUCUUAUCAAACUAUCACAGUUUUUUUUUUAAGUCUAGGAAACCAAUAUUUAAUAACUAGACAGCUGUCAGAAUAAUGCCCCUUCAAAUACACAUUCUUUCUGUUGUGUCACAUGGACGAUAAUUAUCUACUUGUGUUUUAAUGGAAAUUAAAAAUAAGUUAAUUGGAAAUGACCUUGAAAACCAGGCAGUGCAAUUUCUAGGGCUAUGCCUGUGCUCAAAACCAUCUAUUCUAUAGUAGUUUCUCCAUUACUAUCAUAAGGCAGUUCUCUCCCAGCAUUGAGGCAGGCAUUAGAAAGUCUCCCAAUAGAAUGCUAUCCAUAACUAGUCCUGUUUCUACCUGCUAGGAUGACACUGAUUUAGUCCUUCUCUAGGUUUGCUAUUCAAAUGCUUGAAGACAGCUGGCCUGUCACUUCCCAUUGUCUUCUCCCCAGUUACUUCUGAUAGUCACGUGCCACAGUGUCUAAGCCAAACAGCAUUGUCUACUGCUUCUGCCCUCUUCACGAAAGUACCAUUGGAAAGGAAGAUCUCCUGCAGAUUUAAUUUGAGAAGAGAUCAUUGAAAAGCACUUUAAAAUCUUGAAAAUGUGAAAGAAAGUGAAGUGUCCUACUGUACAACAGUAGCAUACGUAUCCACUAGAUUGAAUCUAAGAGUGGAACAUGACGGAAACCACCUGUUUCUUAAACUGGAAGACAAAUGAUGAAAUUGUUUCCUGCCACAAAGAGAAGUGAGUCCUCAGAAUACACAUCCAACAGAAAAACAGAGGAAGUGGAAGAGAGGAUUGUGUGUACGACUCUGAUUCUAGUCUGUCUACUUGUAGUUUGUAGUACAAAUUGCACUGGAACCCUACCCUACCCAUAGGUAGAGCUAGGUAGGUGUUCUUACUGUUUUUCAAGUGUAAGACACUCGCUGUUUACAUUAAUAACUUAGGUUUACACUAGGAGCACUACCUAUAGGGCUCCAUUUCCUGGUUGUCAGAUAUGUGAUGCUUGUAGUUCACAUUAGUGUUUUAGUUUUAGAAUCUUGCUUUGUCCUUCUUCAGUCCUGCCAAUUUUGUGUCCUAAAUGCAGUUCCUGCCUCAGAUCUGCUCACCAUUCAUUUCUUUCUCAGUCUCCUAUAACUCGUUCUUCCCACCAAAUGGAGAUGCUGCUAAUACACAAGAAACUGACUUCAAUGUCUCUGAUACAUCUUUGUGGUUGAUUUGGUAGAAAUUCCCUUCUCGUGAUUCUGCGUAGGUGGGCGUGUCAUACAUUUCUUUUUACACUCUAACCAAUCUUCUAAAUUCUCUUGGGAGACUAAAACUACUGUCCUAAAACCACUCAUUCCGUGUUAGUGUCCAUAAAGACUCAGACUUGUCUUCUUGUAUUCUGAACAUCUCCCCCAAAGCACCACGCCCACUGCUGGUGUUUCUGUUGUCUGUAUCCAUGACUUGCCAUCAGAUUUGUCCAUUCCAGAAACACCUGUCCCAGUCUGUGGGAAUCCUUCCUGAGUCAGCAAUACCAGAACCAGAGACUAUUACUUUCAGCCCCUUCCUCAGAAAGUGGCCAGGGUUCAGGAUACUUAACACUGGUUCUUCUUUUCUUGGUCCGAGUCUACCCCGUCAAGAAUCAGUUCUUACCUGUUUAAUUAUGGAGCCACCUGAGCAGCCCGUCUUUUCUCCAGGUUUUUCUCUGCUUUAUUACUUCUUACCCUCACUUGAAGUUGAUACGGCUAUGGUAACCUUCUAACUGGUAUGCCUUGCAGAUGGAUCAGUCUGUCUAAAAAUCCUCAAAUUAGCAUGUCACUUCUAAUUUAGACCAUUCCCUACGUUCAUAUAGAGCCCAGAUGUCUCUGAAAAGCCAUUAAGACUUUUUAAUGACUCACCCCGGCUUACCCCAAGAGCCUUUCCUCUCACAACUUUCCUGUUCAGUUUAGUCACACCAAAUCAUUUGCAGUUGCCUAGCCAUGUUUGCUCCCUUACCUUUGCCCCUUUGUGCAGGUCAUGCGACAGGACACUUGCAGAGUUCUCUCCUUCCUCCCCCACCAAUUCUUGACUUGGCAAAAAUCUUUUCCUGCAAACCAUCUACAACUUUAUUAUUCUAUAUCAAGUUAUCCUUCUAAAGUUUUUAUACAUGGCUGUUGUAACAUUGUCAGAGGCUGUCACACUGUGUUGUUGGUUUCUCCACCUGCCCCUUUAGAAGAUUAAUUUUUUAGGAACUGUGUUUUAUUUUUUUCUGUCCCAUAAACCUGCUAUUUUUAAGGUUUAUUUUAAAAAAUGACUUGGUUAUUUAUUGUUUUAUUUAUUAUUAGUAACCAAAUGUAGAAUGUAUAAGAAAAUGCAUUAUUGUGAAUAAUAAAAUAUGUACCAUUAUAGUAGCAAAUUUUACUAUUUGUUAAUAAAUAAGACUAUAUUCAAAUGCAUACUAAUUUCUGGAAUGUGUGACAUACUCAUUGUUAAAAUGUACUUGAUUGUUCUAAUCUUCUUCAAAGGUGUAAGUGGAAUUUUCUAAGUGUUUUACUGUAAUUUAAUAAGCACUUGAAAAUAAACUCA